rnacentral:misc_RNA from 1 species
CCAUUCAUUGAGACUGCACGCUCAGGCAACGCACCCACGGUGAACCAUGAUUUUCUCUCCUUGUCAUAUUUCUUGACGUCCAUGUCAACAGCAGCAUAUAAUUCAUUAUUUACCACAGCCACUAAAGGUGGAGCCUCAGCAGCUGCAGGCAUCUCAUUCUCAAUGGCAGCACCACUCCGUCCAGGAUACAUAUUAGGAAUUUCAGUCCACUUCUUUGUUUCCAGAUCAUACUCCUCUCCACAUGCAAGAAGCCUCAUUUCACUUCCCCCAAUUCCCCCAAUAACAUAGAACUUUCCAUCCAUAAACACUGCUGAACA